rnacentral:lncRNA from 1 species
GUUUAAACUUACACGAAUCGCUCUCUUGAGGAGGAGGGAACCGCCGCGCGAUUGACACGCAUAUUCCUAUAGGCAUCCUCCCUCAGCCCCCACCCCCACGGCCGGAUUCGGGUGGCUCCUCUCCGAGCUGAAAUCCGAGAAGAAAUCUCCUUGGAUCUCUUGUUAAAAAAAAAAAAAAAAAAAAAAUCCAGAAACCGUCGGUAUUUUGCUUUCCUGCUUCCUUUUCGCAUGAUGAAGAAGUUUUUCGACUCCAGGCGAGAGCAGGGUGGCUCUGGCCUGGGCUCCGGCUCCAGCGGAGGAGGGGGCAGCACCUCGGGCCUGGGCAGCGGCUACAUCGGACGGGUCUUUGGCAUUGGGCGACAGCAGGUCACUGUGGACGAGGUGCUGGCGGAAGGUGGAUUUGCCAUCGUGUUUCUGGUGAGGACAAGCAAUGGAAUGAAAUGUGCCUUGAAACGCAUGUUUGUCAACAACGAGCAUGAUCUCCAGGUGUGCAAGAGAGAAAUCCAGAUAAUGAGGGACCUGUCGGGGCAUAAGAACAUCGUGGGUUACAUUGACUCCAGUAUCAACAGUGUGAGUAGCGGUGAUGUGUGGGAAGUUCUCAUCCUGAUGGACUUCUGCAGGGGAGGCCAAGUGGUCAACCUGAUGAACCAGCGCCUGCAAACAGGUUUUACAGAAAAUGAAGUACUCCAGAUAUUUUGUGACACCUGUGAAGCUGUCGCCCGCCUGCAUCAGUGCAAAACUCCUAUUAUCCACCGUGACUUGAAGGUUGAGAAUAUUCUCUUGCAUGACCGAGGCCACUAUGUCCUGUGUGACUUUGGAAGUGCUACCAACAAAUUCCAGAACCCACAAACGGAAGGAGUCAAUGCAGUAGAAGAUGAGAUUAAGAAGUACACAACGCUGUCCUAUCGCGCACCAGAGAUGGUCAACCUGUAUAGUGGCAAGGUCAUCACGACGAAGGCAGACAUUUGGGCUCUCGGAUGUUUGUUGUAUAAAUUAUGUUACUUCACUUUGCCAUUUGGGGAGAGUCAAGUGGCAAUUUGUGAUGGAAACUUCACAAUUCCUGAUAACUCUCGAUAUUCCCAAGACAUGCACUGCCUAAUUAGGUAUAUGUUGGAACCAGACCCUGACAAAAGGCCGGAUAUUUACCAGGUUUCCUACUUCUCAUUUAAACUACUCAAGAAAGAAUGCCCAAUUCCAAAUGUACAGAACUCUCCCAUUCCUACAAAGCUCCCUGAACCAGUGAAAGCCAGUGAGGCAGCUGCAAAGAAGACCCAGCCAAAGGCCAGACUGACAGAUCCCAUUCCCACUACAGAGACGUCAAUUGCACCCCGCCAGAGGCCUAAAGCUGGGCAGACUCAGCCCAACCCAGGAAUCCUCCCCAUCCAACCAGCCCUGACCCCUCGGAAGAGGGCCACAGUUCAGCCCCCACCUCAAGCCGCAGGAUCCAGCAAUCAGCCUGGUCUUUUAGCCAGUGUUCCUCAACCAAAAACGCAGCCCCCACCCAGUCAACCGCUACCACAGUCUCAGCCCAAGCAGCCUCAGGCUCCUCCCACCUCACAGCAGCCGCCUUCCACACCAGCCCAGGCUCUGCCCACCCAGGCCCAGGCCACACCCCAGCACCAGCAGCAACUCUUCCUCAAGCAGCAGCAGCAGCAGCAGCAGCAGCAGCAGCAGACAGCGCCAUCUGCACAGCAGCCAGUGGGCACGUUCUACCAGCAGCCGCAGCAGCAGGCCCAGGCUCCGCAGUUUCAGGCAGUACACCCAGCAGCCCAGCAACCAGUGAUCGCUCAGUUCCCUGUGGUAUCUCAAGGAAGCUCUCAACAGCAGCUGAUACAAAACUUCUACCAGCAGCAGCAGCAGCAACAGCAGCUGGCCACAGCCCUGCAUCAACAACAGCUGCUGACUCAGCAGGCUGCCUUGCAGCAGAAGACGACAGUGGCGGCUGUACCGCAGCCCCAAGCACAGCCGGCCACAGCAGCCUCGCCAGCCCCUGCCCAGGAGCCAGCGAUUCAGGCCCCAGUAAGACAACAGCCGAAGGUUCAGACAACCCCACCUCCUACCAUCCAGGGGCAGAAACUUGGAUCUCUCACUCCUCCAUCAUCCCCCAAGGCCCAGCGUGCUGGGCACAGGCGAAUUCUCAGCGAUGUGACCCACAGCGCAGUCUUUGGGGUCCCUGCCAGCAAAUCAACCCAGCUGCUCCAAGCAGCUGCAGCUGAGGCCAGUCUCAAUAAGUCCAAGUCUGCAACCACCACUCCUUCAGGCUCCCCUCGGGCCUCCCAGCAAAAUGUUUAUAAUCCUUCAGAAGGUUCUACGUGGAAUCCCUUUGAUGACGACAAUUUCUCCAAACUCACAGCUGAAGAACUGCUAAACAAGGACUUUGCCAAGCUGGGGGAAGGCAAAUAUCCUGAGAAGCUUGGAGGCUCUGCUGAGAGUUUGAUCCCAGGCUUUCAACCAACCCAAGGUGAUGCUUUUGCUGCUCCCUCAUUUUCCGCUGGAACUGCUGAAAAAAGGAAGGGUGGGCAGACUGUGGAUUCUAGCCUUCCUCUUCUAAGUGUAUCUGAUCCUUUCAUUCCUCUUCAAGUACCUGAUGCACCAGCUGCGGAAGAUAGUAAUCUCAUCUCAGGUUUUGAUGUCCCUGAGGGCUCGGACAAGGUGGCAGAAGAUGAGUUUGACCCUAUUCCUGUAUUGAUAACCAAAAACCCACAAGGUCUCCAGAGAGAGCCCAUUCCCUCUCCUGUAAUAACUGUAGAGCACUUUAAAGAAUCGACGGGUGUUAAAGGCCUUCCCCUGUACCCGGACCCCUCCCGGGUACCUGGCACGAAAACUCAGAACAGUCUAGAAUCUGACUACUUGGCCCGAGAUGGCCCUUCCAGCAACAGUUCGUUCCACAGCAGUGAAGAGGAGGGGACCGACCUCGAGGGGGACAUGCUGGACUGCAGUGGCUCUCGCCCUCUGCUCUUGGAGUCGGAGGAAGAGGAUGAGAGCUGCAAGCCUCCGCAGGGGAAGCUAGGAGGAGCCACUCCCUUCACUCAGCCGGAGGUCACUUCCGCGCAGGCCAAGGCCUCGCAAGGUGGGAGGAAGAACCAAUUCGGAGCCCUCACCCAGCCGACCGCUGAUGGACUCGGUGAGCCAGAUGUGUUUGCCACUGCUCCCUUCCGGAGUUCAAGGAUUCCCGCUGAUGACAUUUUUGCCAAAGCCCCCUUUGUCUCCAAGGGCAACGUGGCCCUUUCCCAGCCAGAGGAGACGGAUGUGUUCUUGAGAGCUCCCUUUACCAAGAAGAAAGGCAUGGAGGAGUCAGCAGUUGCCCAGAGCCCCGCCCAGGAGCAGCCCGGUCUCCUCAGUCAGACCGAUGACAUCCCUCUGCUCCCAGGCCUGGAUCGAGCCGUGUACCCGUCCGCCCGAGCUCAGUAUUCCACUGCUGGCUUUGCCCAGCCGUCUAACCUCCCCUCCCAUCCUGUACAAGCAGCAGACCAUCUUGACAGCAUCUCUUCCAGGGGCUCUUCCCUGGAAUCUGGGGCCCAUCCUAAUGACAGAAACAAAGGACCUCAGCCCCAGAAAGAAGCUGUCUCAGGCCCCGUGGCAGGCAAACCAUUCCGCCCCCAGUCUUUAUCCAAAUAUUCCCGUCACUAUAGCCCGGAAGAUGAGCCGAAUCCAGAAGCCCAGCCCAUUGCUGCCUACAAAAUUGUUUCGCAAACCAAUAAGCAGUCGAUAGCUGGCUCCGUUUCCAUCACAUCCCUUGCCUCCAGGACUACGGAGCUGCCAGCUGCUGAUCCUUUUGCUUUAGCACCCUUUCCUUCAAAGUCAGGCAAACAGAAACCUUAGGAGCCAUGCCUGAGCCUCAGGCCUCUGUCUCUACCCUACCCUCAAUACCCACCACAUCACUCCCAGCUGAGCCUUCCUGAGAAGAUUUAUAUCAAUUAUUCUCUUUCAGUUCCGUGAGUCAGAGCAGAACUUCUUGAGUCAACAAACUCAGUCGAGGUGAUACUUAGUUGAAACUCCCUUAAGUUAUGCUCAUUGCUUUUGUUUAUAUUGAUUUCUGGACUUUGGGUGAGUGUGUCCAUCUUCACCUCCACCCAGAACUCUGCUUUCUGUUGUGUGCCUAGAAACUGUUUUAAUCUCAAACUGCUUGUCAGUAAAUCCAGAAAUAACUUCCCGAAGGGGCCAUGGUAUUGCUACUUUGAUUCCUGUAGUUCCUGUUCUGAGUCAUGUCUAAUGAGGAAUUAAGAUGAGUUCCUCCCAGACUUGGUUUCAUACUCUUGAAAAGGGUACAUUUCAGGAAAGAAACACAAGAUAAAAAUUCUGCUCAUCAAAAGGAAGUGUGAUCCUGAAGAUACUAAUCAUUCCUCUAAAACCAGCAACUCUAGAAAGCUUCUCUGGAUCUGAGUCUGUAGGCCACCCUGGUCCUCAUGCGUGAGUGUCGGUGGGUGUGUAAUGUGUGUUAGAUCCUUACCUUUGUAGAGAUGCAAACAUGAGAUUUCUGUGCUGGUGUCUGAUAGUGUGGAGCCUUCUCCCACGUGCACACUUUAAAAAUUCAUGUGAGUGCACAGCUGUGUGUGUACACUUCUGUUUGCACAGGAAACGUUCUUCCUUUAGGUAAAUCCUGUCCCACCUCGCGUACCUCCACAAUCACUCAUUUGCUGGUAUUUGUUCUCCUAACCUAACUUACGUGAACCCUGUUUUUAUUGCAUUCUUUUCUCAUGGCAAAAUUUAAUUUAUUGGAAUGAGUAGGAAAAUCCUGCUGGAAUGCAAUUUUCUAAGUAGAUUGUUUUUUCCUUUAGAAUUUGCUAUUAACAUUUCAUUUACAAAGUCUUGAAAAAUUAAC